rnacentral:rRNA from 1 species
UACGAAGGGGGCUAGCGUUGUUCGGAAUUACUGGGCGUAAAGGGCGUGUAGGCGGCCCGUUAAGACAGGUGUGAAAUUCCUGGGCUCAACCCAGGACGUGCGCCUGUGACUGGCGGGCUUGAGUCCGGGAGAGGAUGGUGGAACUCCCAGUGUAGAGGUGAAAUUCGUAGAUAUUGGGAAGAACACCCGUGGCGAAGGCGGCUACCUGGACCGGUUCUGACGCUGAGGCGCGAAAGCGUGGGUAGCAAACAGG